UGAUAUGUAACCUAUGGCUGUUAGGGAUAUAGUAAUAAGCGGUGCCUCAGCAUUUCUAUACGGCUCUAUCUUGAGCCGGAUACAUAGUCUUAGGUAAUAAGUCCUAUGGGAUCACAAUGUAAGGGUUCGAUUCCGGAGAGGGAGCCUGAGAAACGGCUACCACAUCCAAGGAAGGCAGCAGGUGUGCAAAUUACCCACUCCCGACGCGGGGAGGUAGUGAA